rnacentral:rRNA from 1 species
CGGUUGAUCCUGCCGGAGGGGACCCCUAUCGGGCUCGGACUAAGCCAUGCGAGUCGGCUGGGGGCCCUUGCCCCUGGCGGCGCACGGCUCAGUAAUACACGGUCAACCUGCCCUGGGGACCGGGAUAACCUCGGGAAACUGAGGCUAAUCCCGGAUAGGGAUGGAUUCCUGGAAUGGGUCCAUCCCUAAAGUAGGCGGGGGAAUGGCCCCGCUGAGGCCCCAGGAUGGGACCGUGGCCUAUCAGGUGGUAGGUGGGGUAACGGCCCACCUAGCCUAAGACGGGUGCGGGCGGUGGGAGCCGGAGCCCGGAGAUGGGCACUGAGACAAGGGCCUAGGCCCUACGGGGCGCAGCAGGCGCGAAACUUCCCCAAUGCGCGCAAGCGUGAGGGAGUGAGCCCGAGUGCCGCCCGCUGAGGGCGGCUGUUCCCGGGUGUAAACAACCCGGGGUAGGAAGGGGAGGGUAAGGCUGGUGCCAGCCGCCGCGGUAAAACCAGCUCCUCGAGGGGUCCCCACGCAUACUGGGCCUAAAGCGUCCGUAGCCGGCCCCGUAAGUCCCCGGUUAAAUCCACCGGAAGACCGGUGGGCUGCCGGGGGAUACUGCGGGGCUAGGGAGCGGGAGGGGCCGAGGGUAUUCCGGGGGAUAGCGGUAAAAU